ensembl:lncRNA
AUUAACCAGCGGCCUAAUGGGUCACAUUACCGACCCCAGCGGUCCUAAUGGUCACAUUACUCAGCCCAGCGGUCCUAAUGUUCACAUUACCCAGCCCAGCGGUCCUAAUGGUCACAUUACUCAGCCCAGCGGUCCUAAUGGUCACAUUACCCAGCCCAGCGGUCCUAAUGGUCACAUUACCCAGCCCAGUGGUCCUAAUGGUCAUAUCUGACCUCUGGAUUAUCUUAACAAUGACCACAGAGCAGACCUCUCUGCACCACUUGACUGUCUCAACCUCUCACUCUUGCUCUUUCACCUCCAUUUCUCUCUUCCUUGCAUUUACUACAUGGCCUCAUGCUCCCAAGGGGGCCAAGGGGAAAAAGUCAAGUAAGUUUAGUACAUUUAAUUUUCUUCCUCCUUUAUUCAUCGUCCUGUUUUCCUGUCAUGUAGUUCAUGACGAAGAGUCCAAACAAGCGUCUGGGCUGUGUGAUCACCCAGGGCUUGGAGGAGGCCAUCAAGGUGCAUCCCUUCUUCAAGGAGAUGGACUGGGUUCUGCUGGAGCAGAAGAGGGUCAGACCACCCUUCAAACCUCGCAUUAAAACCAAAAAGGAUGUGAACAACUUUGACCAGGACUUCACUCGCGAGGAACCUGUCCUCACCCCAGUAGAAGACGCCAUUAUUAAGCAGAUCAACCAAGACGAGUUCAAGGGUUUCUCCUACUUUGGAGGGGAGGAGAAUCUGUCCUAAGGCCUGCACACACACCAACACACACACCAACACACACACACACACACACCAACACACAAACAAACACGUAUAGACACACAUACAUGCAGGAACACUGACAUACACACGAAUUUAAGAACACACAUACAAACAUACAUACAUACAUGCAAACCCAUGUAUUUUCUCCCAUGCAGACAUACAGAAUUAUAAAAUACACACAGAGUAAAUUAUUACUUUCACACACUUAUAUAAAACUCCAGCCAUUAGGGCCUCAGAUUAGUACCAACUUCAAAACCUAAACCAGACCAUCUACAGCGCUCUACCAGUAUCUGUCUGUAUGUCUGUCUGUCCAUCAGUGCAUGUUUUCUAAGUUACAAACCAAUGUAAUUCAAGAGUAGGUCAGAUAGGAAGCCCAUCUGCUUUAUUAUCAAGGUCCUAUUGGCUGGUCCAGAUCAGAGUGGUGGAUCAAACCACACUCCUUGUGGUGGAGGGUGGCCCUAGGAUUGGCCCCCUGACACUGAAUAUAGCCUGGCCCUUGCCCCACUGGCCUGGGCUGAUAACAGUGAUGAAAGCUCCCCACAGUCCAGCCCCAGAUUGUCACAAGGCCCUUUCCAGUGGACUAUGAAAUGUACAGGGAAUGUUUGUGUGACGGUGUCAACUUUUUGUCUAUGUAAGGAUUUAAAGGUCAGGGGUUAUGUGUGCUUUGAGCAGGGGUCUUGUUCGACAUGGUCUCCUUACAAUAGAUCAGACUUUCAACUGUUUCGUCAACCAUCCUAGUUCCUCAGUGAGUAUAUGAUACUGAAAUAAUUAUAUUAUUAUAUGAAUCUGUAAUUUCUUAAGCUGUCCUGUAAAUUUCUCAUUGUACUAGAAUGUCCUCCUCCUCUGCCAUGUUUAAACUGGAUGUACUAGAAUGUCCUCCUUCUCUGCCAUGUUUAAACUGGAUGUACUAGAAUGUCCUCCUUCUCUGCCAGGUUUUAACUGGAUUUGUAUAGAAUGUCCUCUUCUCGAUGCAUGAGUUUAAACUGGAUGUCUAACUAACUGUCUCC